GGCGGCGUGCCUAACACAUGCAAGUCGGACGCGAAAGGGGGCAACCCUGAGUAGAGUGGCGUCCGGGUGAGUAACACGUGGAUAAUCUACCUGCGGGUGGGGAAUAACUUUCCGAAAGGGAAGCUAAUACCGCAUAACAUUUUCUGGGGGCAGCCUCGGGAGAUCAAAGUGGGGGAUCGCAAGACCUCACGCCUGUAGAGGAGUCCGCGGCUGAUUAGCUAGUUGGUGAGGUAAUGGCUCACCAAGGCUACGAUCAGUAGCCGGCCUGAGAGGGCGGUCGGCCACACUGGCACUGAAACACGGGCCAGACUCCUACGGGAGGCAGCAGUGGGGAAUUUUGGGCAAUGGCCGAAAGGCUGACCCAGCAACGCCGCGUGAAGGAUGAAAUCUUUCGGGAUGUAAACUUCGUAAGUCAGGGAAGAAUAAACGUAACCUAAUACGUUAUGAUAUGACGGUACCUGACGUAAGCCCCGGCUAACUCCGUGCCAGCAGCCGCGGUAAUACGGGGGGGGCAAGCGUUGUUCGGAAUUACUGGGCGUAAAGGGCGCG
rnacentral:rRNA from 1 species